rnacentral:rRNA from 1 species
AGUGGCGGACGGGUGAGUAACGCGUGGGCAACCUGCCCCAUACCGGGGGAUAACAGCCGGAAACGGCUGCUAAUACCGCAUACGCCCAGGAGGCUGCAUAGCUUCCUGGGGAAAACUCCGGUGGUAUGGGAUGGGCCCGCGUCUGAUUAGCUCGUUGGCGGGGUAACGGCCCACCAAGGCGACGAUCAGUAGCCGGCCUGAGAGGGCGGCCGGCCACAUUGGGACUGAGACACGGCCCAG